ACUGAACCACAAUUCUUCCACCAAGCUAUGUCAAAUCACAUCAAAACUCAUUCCUGGAUUUAACUGAGAUGUGAGCAAUACCUCUGGAUGACAUUUUUCUUCUUCUUGAUGGCCUGCCGGAGAGGGUCACGCAAGGACACCUGAGCAAAAUCCUGCAAAGCUGAGUAGAUUGUGUGUCGGAUGGCGUGAUUGAAUACACUCUCCAUGCGUCCCAUCAACACUUGCAAACCCUUUAUCAUGGCGAUCACCUGCCAGAGGACCAACAAUCAAAAACAAUGAAAACAUUG